GUGGGGAAUAUUGGACAAUGGGCGAAAGCCUGAUCCAGCCAUGCCGCGUGUGUGAAGAAGGUCUUCGGAUUGUAAAGCACUUUAAGUUGGGAGGAAGGGCAGUAAGCUAAUACCUUGCUGUUUUGACGUUACCGACAGAAUAAGCACCGGCUAACUCUGUGCCAGCAGCCGCGGUAAUACAGAGGGUGCAAGCGUUAAUCGGAAUUACUGGGCGUAAAGCGCGCGUAGGUGGUUCGUUAAGUUGGAUGUGAAAGCCCCGGGCUCAACCUGGGAACUGCAUCCAAAACUGGCGAGCUAGAGUACGGUAGAGGGUGGUGGAAUUUCCUGUGUAGCGGUGAAAUGCGUAGAUAUAGGAAGGAACACCAGUGGCGAAGGCGACCACCUGGACUGAUACUGACACUGAGGUGCGAAAGCGUGGGGAGCAAACAGGAUUAGAAACCCGUGUAGUCC
rnacentral:rRNA from 1 species